GCAUCAACACGAAUGCAUUCUUGCUUGUCACCUGAAUGUAUGCUUGCUUCAAACAACUUGAAAACAACAGUUUGAUCUUCAACCCGGAAUGUUAAUGUUCCGGCUUCAACGUCAAUAAGAGUCCGGGCUGUUGCCAGAAAUGGGUAGCCCAAAAUGAUGGGUGUUGUCAAAUCCUCAUCCAUGUCCAACACCAUAAAAUCAGCCGGUAAAUAUAAAUUGUCAACCUUCACAAUAACAUCCUCAAUGACUCCUCUAGGGUAGGUAAUUGAACGGUCAGCCAAUUGAAUAAUACUGGAGGUUGGCUUUAGCUCACCUUCACCUAAACGUUUGAAAACAGAAUAAGGCAUUAAGUUUACACUAGCACCUAAAUCAAUUAAAGCACUAUUAAAAUCACAAUUUCCAAUGGUGCAAGAGAUAGUAAAACUCCCUGGAUCUUUUUUCUUUGGAGGCAAUUUAUGCAAUAAGACCGCACUGCACUAUUCUGUAAGAAUCACUUUUUCAAAAUCGACAAGCUUCUUUUUCUUUGUACAAACGUCCUUCAAAAACUUGGCAUAAGAUGGAAUGUUCUUGAUUGCAUCAAUUAAUGGAAGAUUAAUUUGAACUUUAGCCAAAGUUUUCAUGAAAUCUAUCAACUGUUGAUCUUUAGCUUUAGGCUUCAACCUUUCUGGAUAAGGCAUAUGAGGCUCAUAAACACGUUAUGCAGUUUUUGUGGAAGCUUCUGCAGUAUUUUCAGAUCUGUCUUGGGACUGCCCAGAAUCUGCAGAAAUUUCAGAAUCUGCAAAAAUAGCAGAUUUAGUUUGGGGUAGUUCUGCUGCUUGCGAAUUUCCAACAAAAUUUUCAUGUCUGUUGUUGUAACUUUUGCCAGACCGUAGAGUCCGUAUAGCAUUGCAUUCUUCUCGUCCUCUUGGAUUAGGUACUGUUUGACUAGGAAAUGUACCCGGAGCUCUUUCUGAAACCUGC
rnacentral:lncRNA from 1 species